AUACAGGGGGUGCGAGCGUUAAUCGGAAUUACUGGGCGUAAAGAGUACGUAGGCGGUUGCUUAAGUCAGAUGUGAAAGCCCCGGGCUCAACCUGGGAACUGCAUUUGAAACUGAGUGACUAGAGUUUAAGAGAGGGGAGUAGAAUUCCGGGUGUAGCGGUGAAAUGCGUAGAGAUCCGGAGGAAUACCAGUGGCGAAGGCGGCUCCCUGGCUUAAAACUGACGCUGAGGUACGAAAGCGUGGGUAGCAAACAGAAUUAGAAACCCUAGUAGUCC
rnacentral:rRNA from 1 species